UACGUAGGGGGCUAGCGUUGUCCGGAUUUAUUGGGCGUAAAGAGCGUGUAGGCGGCUAGGUAGGUCCGUUGUGAAAACUCGAGGCUCAACCUCGAGACGCCGAUGGAAACCAUCUAGCUAGAGUCCGGAAGAGGAGAGUGGAAUUCUUGGUGUAGCAGUGAAAUGCGUAGAUAUCAGGAGGAACACCGAUGGCGAAGGCAGGUCUCUGGGCUGACACUGACGCUCAUGCACGAAAGCGUGGGGAGCGAACAGG
rnacentral:rRNA from 1 species